AGGGAUGUAGCUCCAUGCUAGAGUAUUUGCUUUACAUGCAGAUGGUCCCAGAUUCAAUCCCUGACACCCCUU